UACGUAGGUCGCAAGCGUUGUCCGGAUUUACUGGGCGUAAAGAGCGCGCAGGCGGCUGGUCAAGUCCGAUGUGAAAUCUCCCGGCUCAACUGGGAAACUGCAUCGGAAACUGAUCGGCCUGAAGAUGGGAGAGGGUAGUGGAAUUCCCGGUGUAGUGGUGAAAUGCGUAGAUAUCGGGAGGAACACCAGUGGCGAAGGCGACUACCUGGCCCAUUCUUGACGCUGAGGCGCGAAAGCUAGGGGAGCGAACGGG
rnacentral:rRNA from 1 species